UACGUAGGGGGCGAGCGUUGUCCGGAAUCACUGGGCGUAAAGAGCGUGUAGGCGGCCAGACAGGUCAGCUGUGAAAACUCGAGGCUCAACCUCGAGACGUCGGUUGAAACCGUCUGGCUAGAGUCCGGAAGAGGAGAGUGGAAUUCCCGGUGUAGCGGUGAAAUGCGCAGAUAUCGGGAAGAACACCCGUGGCGAAGGCGGCUCUCUGGGACGGUACUGACGCUGAGACGCGAAAGCGUGGGGAGCGAACAGG
rnacentral:rRNA from 1 species